AUCACAUCAAAACACAGGUUCCUGCAUGAUCACCGAAGUUAAGCAACAUUAGGCCUGGUCAGUACUUAGAUGGGUGACUGCCUAGGAAACU